AAGUUUGACCUCAAAUCAGGUAGGAAUACCCGCUGAACUUAAGCAUAUCAAUAAGCGGAGGAAAAGAAACCAACAGGGAUUGCCUUAGUAGCGGCGAGUGAAGCGGCAAAAGCUCAAAUUUGAAAUCUGGCGCCUUCGGUGUCCGAGUUGUAAUUUGAAGAUUGUAACCUUGGGGUUGGCUCUUGUCUAUGUUUCUUGGAACAGGACGUCACAGAGGGUGAGAAUCCCGUGCGAUGAGAUGCCCAAUUCUAUGUAAGGUGCUUUCGAAGAGUCGAGUUGUUUGGGAAUGCAGCUCUAAGUGGGUGGUAAAUUCCAUCUAAAGCU
rnacentral:rRNA from 1 species